AAAUAUAUAAUUUUAGAAUAUUGAUAUCUCUUUUUAUAUAUGAUAUAAUUUCUAUUCUAUUUUGAAAAAUAAUUUGAAAAGCUUAUCCAAAAAUAUUGGUUUGUCUGAUAUACCAAUGCCUUUAUGUGAGGUGCUAAAAGUGUAUAAAUAGAAACUGUUUUUGUUACUAAUCUUGCUUUAGUUUUUGAUACUACAUUUUAAUUUAUACUGAUACUCAGUUAAUUACAUCCUAGGUGGUUCUUUAAAGACUGACUUUAGAUGGAAACUGGAUAAAUACAUACAGGAGUUGCAGUCUAUAAAGUGUAAAGUCUCUAAUGUGGUGCAUCACUCUACCACUUGUAUACUCCUAUAAGGACCUAAAGAUAAAAAAAAAAAAAUUAAAUAGUUCUAAGGUCCCAAUCAAAUACAUAAAUAGUGCUACAUGCAAGACACAGAGUUGGUCCACUUAUAUCUUUCUUUUUCAUGGUUAUAGUGUCUGGAGUCCACUUCCAUUCAGUAUUAAACCGUUUUUAACCUUUUAAUGCUAAGUGAGAGUUCCCAGUGUUGCGUGGGUUAAUGAGGAAUCAUUAGCUUGAGCAGCAAUAGGUGGCUGUGAUUGACUAUUUGUGUCAACUGACUGCUUUAACGCUAUUGAUCACGCAUUGCUGGCGUGAUUUGGUAUGGCUAGAAGGAAGUCUGUAAUAUCUGCCUACCUCCAGUACAGAACAGGCUGUUGGUGACCAGGGAGCCUUCUUUACUGUUAAAUUGCUCGAUUAUGGUUUAAUACUGAAUCGAGGGACAGUGCCAAAGGAGCUUGCAUAUUAUAUCCAAUUAAAGAAGAGAUGGAAUGUUUAUGGUGUCUACUGCGUCCUUUAAGCUGAUGGAGAGAUGUUGCUUUUGGUUAUUCUGCAUCGUUUGCUAUGUGGGUAGGACCGCUACAUAUGUCAUAUACUUAUAUGUCACUUUAUAUUCAGCUGGAUCUUCUGCUGCACUGCUCAGAGGAGACAUGGUAACUGUAAUGGAAGGCCUUUAUGACCAGCUGAAUAGGUGCUUUUGCGCUACUGCACUGAUGUGCACUGAAAAUGAAUCAAAGUAAAUUUACUCACCUUUUUACCACUGCUGUGUCUUCCUUUAUGAAUCCAUAUUCUUCUCUUCGCUUGACUUCCAGGAUGAUGGUCCAAUCUAAUGCUCCUCAUAGAGGAGCGAUCUGCCAAUCAUCGCAGUCCACCAGUGAUUCUGUCAUAGAGAAUCAUUACAUGCAAUGAUUCUCUAUGGCAAGCUGUGACGGCACUGUGAAU